UCCCUAGUUCGGAUUGUAGGCUGAAACUCGCCUACAUGAAGCUGGAAUUGCUAGUAAUCACAGGUCAGCAUACUGUGGUGAAUACGUUCCCGGGCCUUGUACACACCGCCCGUCACACCAUGAGAGUUGAGAAUACCCGAAGCCCAUGUCAAAGUGGUCGAAGGUAGGCUUGAUGAUUGGGGUGAAGUCGUAACAAGGUACC
rnacentral:rRNA from 1 species